rnacentral:rRNA from 1 species
UACAGAGGGUGCAAGCGUUAAUCGGAAUUACUGGGCGUAAAGCGUGCGCAGGCGGUUUUGUAAGUCAGAUGUGAAAUCCCCGGGCUUAACCUGGGAACUGCGUUUGAAACUACAAGGCUAGAGUGUGACAGAGGGGGGUGGAAUUCCACGUGUAGCAGUGAAAUGCGUAGAGAUGUGGAGGAACACCGAUGGCGAAGGCAGCCCCCUGGGUUAACACUGACGCUCAGGCACGAAAGCGUGGGGAGCAAACAGG